GUGCUCACUUUGACAGCACAUAUACUAAAACUGGAACAACACAGAGAAGAUUAGCAUGGCCCCUGUGCAAUGACGAUAUGCAAAUUUGUGAAGCAUCCCAUAUUAAA